rnacentral:misc_RNA from 1 species
GAUGAAGAACGUAGCGAAAUGCGAUAAGUAAUGCGAAUUGCAGAAUUCAGUGAAUCAUCGAAUCUUUGAACGCACAUUGCGCCCGCUAGCAUUCUGGCGGGCAUGCCUGUCUGAGCGUCAUUUCAACCCUCGCCCCCGGCUUUUGCUGGGAGCGGUGUUGGGGAUCGGCCGCCCGUCACUGGGAGGCCGGCCCCGAAAUAGAGUGGCGACCACGCCGUGUGCUCCUCUGCGUAGUAGUAAAUCACCUCGCAGGCGGACAGCGGUGCGGCCUGCCGUAAAACCCCCAACUCUUUCUGGUUGACCUCAGAUCAGGUAGGAAUACCCGCUGAACUUAAGCAUAUCAAUAAGCGGAGGA